ACAGAUUUGGUUCAGCCCACAGAUUUCAUCUCUCUGUUAAGAAAGAAUCCCACCAAUUCCCCAAUGCUAUACCCUCAAGGUUGUCAAACUCUUUCUCUCACCCUCCAUCUCGUCCUUGUCCUUCACAAUCGCAACCACCACCACCACCACCACCACCUAUGAGGGAGUGGCCGAGUGAGAGAUUUGCCGGCGGGUGACAGAGAGUUCCGACCGAUAUAGAGAGUUCCGGUGGUGUUUCGCGGUAACACGGCGGUGUUUGACGACGGCGGUGACAGAGCUUCUUUCUCCUUCUUUCCUCUGGUUCGAUAUUUCUUUCUAUACAUUUAUUUGCUUUUUUUUUUUCUGUUGUUUUUUUUUUUGUUGGUUAGGAUGAUUGAAGAUUUGAGGUGGUGGUGAAAUGUGGUGGUUAUGGUGGAUGGCUCUAUGAAAGAGGCAGCUCAGUUUCAAUUUUUGGGUUCUCAAUUUUAGAGAAUACCACAAGCUGUUAGGAAUUUGGGUUUGUCAAUAUGAAGCCAACUUUGGGUCAAGCUCAAAGUAAUUGGGAAGCUGAUAAAAUGCUUGAUGUUUAUAUUCAUGAUUAUUUUCUGAAAAGAAAGUUGAACGCCAGUAGGUAAGAAACUAAGAAACAAAAGUUUCGACGGAUCCAGUAGCAAUUGAUGCACCUGGAGGAUUUCUUUUCGAGUGGUGGUCUGUCUUUUGGGAUAUAUUCAUCUCGAGAACAAAUGAGAAACAUUCUGAGGCUGCUGCCGCUUACAUUGAGACCCAGCAAACGAAGGCAAAAGAACAACUUCAAAUGCAGCAAAUGCAACUAAUGCAACAACGCAAUGUCCAGUUACAGAGAAGAGAUCCUAAUCAUCCUGCACUGAGUGGACUGGGUGGUUCCUUAAAUGCCAUUAACUCUGAAGGUAUGUUGGGGCAGCCACCAGCAAGUGUGUUGGCUAUGAAAAUGUAUGAAGAGCGAAUGAAACACCCUCAUUCAAUGGAUUCAGAAGCAUCUCCAAAUCUUAUCGAUGCGAAUAGGAUGGCUCUUCUCAAAUCAGCAACAAGUCAUUAAGGUCAGCUGGUUCAUGGUAAUUCAGGGAAUAUGUCCAAUGCAUUGCAGUAACUGCAAGCACGGUCUACUUUAACCAAUGACAUCAAAGGAGAUGUUAACAUUGGCGCUGGUCCAAAGAAUUUGCCUUUGGAUACAUCAGUUUAUCGACAAGCAAUUUUACAAUCAAAAUCUGGGUUAGGAAGUGCAGGCAAGAGGCAGGCUGAGGAAGAAGUACAGGCAGUGAGUGCAAAAAAGCAAAAGCUAGAAGAGGUUCAUCAAAAGAAGGAAGCUGAGUUGAAGAAAUUUAAGAAUGAUGAAAGUAGUUAUGAGGAAGAGGGAAUUUUAGAUUGUAGGAUAUGAUAGAAGACUAUCAAUUUGGUUUGGGGCCUUAGAUCUAUAUGCGACAUGAUUGCCUAAAGAGGGACUUGGAGCUUGAAGUUAUCAACCAAAUUAAUGGAAAAAAGGAGCUGUGAUUAUUUUUGAAUUAUUGUUUAGAGGAAGAGAGAAAUAAUGUACUCUUGCAUCCUUAUUGUGCAUUGAAACUUUUUUUUUCCCUUCAUAUUGUAAUGAUAAUGAUAAUUUAUGUGGUUGUUUUUGUAAAUUGAAUUUGGAUAUAAUGAGAUUGACCUAGAAAAGUCUCCUAUAUUGAAGAAUACAGGAAGGAUGAAUUCUAUUUUGG